rnacentral:rRNA from 1 species
AAAGGAAUAGACGGGGGCCCGCACAAGCGGUGGAGCAUGUGGUUUAAUUCGAUACUAACCGAAGAACCUUACCCAGGCUUGACAUCCCCGGACAGCCCAUGAAAGUGGGUCUCUUCCCCGAAAGGGGAGGCUGGGUGACAGGUGUUGCAUGGCUGUCGUCAGCUCGUGUCGUGAGAUGUUGGGUUAAGUCCCGCAACGAGCGCAACCCUCAUCGCAUGUUGCCAGCGUAAAGCCGGGCACUCUUGCGAAACUGCCCGUGUAAGCGGGAGGAAGGUGGGGAUGACGUCAAGUCGGCAUGGCCCUUACGCCUGGGGCUACACACAUGCUACAAUGGCCGGUUACAGAGGGACGCAAGACCGCGAGGUGGAGCUAAUCCCACAAACCCGGUCCCAGUUCGGAUUGCAGUCUGCAACUCGACUGCAUGAAGUCGGAAUCGCUAGUAACCGCAGGUCAGCUAUACUGCGGUGAAUACGUUCCCGGGCCUUGUACACACCGCCCGU